GUGGGGAAUAUUGGACAAUGGGCGCAAGCCUGAUCCAGCCAUACCGCGUGGGUGAAGAAGGCCUUCGGGUUGUAAAGCCCUUUUGUUGGGAAAGAAAUCCUGUCGGUUAAUACCUGGCGGGGAUGACGGUACCCAAAGAAUAAGCACCGGCUAACUUCGUGCCAGCAUCCGCGGUAAUACGAAGGGUGCAAGCGUUACUCGGAAUUACUGGGCGUAAAGCGUGCGUAGGUGGUGGUUUAAGUCCGUUGUGAAAGCCCUGGGCUCAACCUGGGAAUUGCAGUGGAUACUGGAUCACUAGAGUGUGGUAGAGGGAUGCGGAAUUUCUGGUGUAGCAGUGAAAUGCGUAGAGAUCAGAAGGAACAUCCGUGGCGAAGGCGGCAUCCUGGGCCAACACUGACACUGAGGCACGAAAGCGUGGGGAGCAAACAGGAUUAGAAACCCCUGUAGUC
rnacentral:rRNA from 1 species